rnacentral:rRNA from 1 species
UACGGAGGGUGCAAGCGUUAUCCGGAUUCACUGGGUUUAAAGGGUGCGUAGGUGGGCUAGUAAGUCCGUGGUGAAAUCUCUGAGCUUAACUCGGAAACUGCCGUGGAUACUAUUAGUCUUGAAUCUCGUGGAGGUAAGCGGAAUAUGUCAUGUAGCGGUGAAAUGCUUAGAUAUGACAUAGAACACCGAUAGCGAAGGCAGCUUGCUACACGAGUAUUGGACACUGAGGCACGAAAGCGUGGGGAUCAA